rnacentral:rRNA from 1 species
CUCAACCGGGGAACCGCGGGGCGAACUGCGCGGCUUGAGACAGGUAGAGGUCGUCGGAACGCUAGGUGGAGCGGUGAAAUGCGUAGAUAUCUAGCGGAACGCCGAUGGGGAAGUCAGACGACUGGGCCUGUACUGACGCUGAGGCACGAAAGCGUGGGUAGCGAACGGGAUUAGAUACCCCGGUAGUCCACGCCCUAAACGAUGUGCACUAGGCCGGGGCCGUUCUGAUGCGGUCUCGGCCGCAGAGAAAUCGCUAAGUGCACCGCCUGGGGAGUACGGUCGCAAGGCUAAAACUCAAAGGAAUUGACGGGGGCUCACACAAGCGGUGGAGCAUGUUGCUUAAUUCGAAGCAACGCGAAGAACCUUACCAGGGCUUGACAUGCACGGAUUAGUCCCGAGAAAUCGGGGUGACGCCUUCGGGUGGAACG